UGCUCGUUGUUUCCUAUGUUGUUUCGUAUUUAACUUAAAUUCUGUUGCUAAAUCUUCGGUAAUUGGUUUUAUAAAUGUCCACUUAGUGCGUUGCUGUAGAAUUGUUUUAUGGCUAUUUUCAAAGUUAAGGAAUUUUUUAUAAUUCUUAUUCUGGGUUUUGAGUGAGGUAGAUUUAAAAUUUAAAAUAUUUAUUCAAAGAAGAAAUAUUAUGGCUUGUAUAAAGAGGAAUCCUAGCUGCAAGAGUGAAGACGAAGAAUUGAUCCAAAUAACGGAUUUAGCAGGUUUAAAAAUUAAACCCGAAGUUUUGAAAUCUUUGAUAUUUCUUCUACGUGAAAAUAUUUCACCGCGCACUGUGUAUUUGUUAUUAAAAGAAAUUUGCAAUGAAACUAUCGAGGCUACUGUUUCCGUCUCAAAGAAAUCAAGUAGCCUGUCGUCUGUCGUGGAGUCGGACAUACAAAAAUAGUUUCAAAUGUACGGGCCGCACAGAUAUUACUAGAGGACAUCAUGCGGCUGGCAAGCCGCCUGUUGGACUGCUGUAAAAUUCCGUAUGGAAGUGAGUGUGUCUGCUGUCUUCAUUGUGUAGAACAAUUUUUACAACUGAUCUGAAAAUCUGAAAAUGCUGCACAAAAAGUGAAUUGAGCAUGACUUUCAAAGCUAAAAUGACUUUUCUGCUGCAAGGUGCAAAGAAAAAAAAGGGUCAUUUUUAGUUACCUAAAACAACAUUCAAUUGGAAAUAUCAUACCCAUAGCCUAUGCAGAAUUUUUUUGUUAAGCACAGUUGGAAGGAGGGCUUAGAAACUCUAGGAAUUGACGAAUUUACAUUUUUGCUGAAUUAAUUUUUUGCUCAAAUUUUGUUUUUGAAGAUUUUUGUUGUAUACCAUUAUAGAUUUGAGUUCUACAGUGACUGAAAUUGUGGCCUGGUAAUUCACCAUGAGUAUUAAAUUUUUGCAAAUGAAGAUCACAAAAAAGUGUUUUGUAUGUUUACUCUGACAUAAUACAAUUAAUAGAUUUCUUCAGUAUUCUGUGUAUAAGAUAGCAAUGAUCUAAUUUUUUUUAAAUAUAGGCUCUAUAUGUAAUGUUUAAAUAUGUAUAUUAUAAAUAAUAAUGGAUAUUAAUAUUAAAAUGUUUAAGAGAAAAUAUAAAAUAGCUUAUUAAGGAAACUAAUUUUGUUGAUUCACUUGAGGUGUGUUUUACUCACUUUCUUUUUGACCUUUUAACUUUUGGGGAGCCUUUGCACAUUUUACUUUGCUGAAAACAGUAUGGUGGAUGGCCUUUUUACUCGAGGGUGCAAGAUGCUUUCAGGCCAGUUAGGUCAUGCCCUCGAUACUCCUCUCAAGGAAGAGUUGCGAGGGCAAUUUUGGCGCAAUCAUCUACUUCAGUGUUGUUCAUUGUAUUGUGAUUUUUAUGAAAUUAAAUAACUUAUGUAUCACGUUACAAAUGAUAUUCACAAAUCAAUAUCUUGUGAUAUUUUGAAUAAAGUAUGUUUUUUUACA